rnacentral:rRNA from 1 species
GGAUGCGAUCAUACCAUCACUAAAGCACCGAAUCCCAUCAGAACUCCGAAGUUAAGCGUGCUUGGGCGAGAGUAGUACUAGGAUGGGUGACCUCUUGGGAAGUCCUCGUGUUGCAUUCC